rnacentral:misc_RNA from 1 species
GAUCCCAAGCCUUCUGGCGAUCUCUUGGAUAMVGCGCCUUUUUUAAUGGUGCUUUAWRGAWAAGAGCUCUAWWMAGCUUUUGUGUUAAGAGUAUGCCGGGGAAGGUUUUCCGGUUUAUCCCGGAGGGCUUGUAKCUCAGUUGGUUAGAGCGCGCGCUUGAUAAGCGUGAGGUCGGAGGUUCAAGUCCUCCCAGGCCCACCAAUCACUCUAUCAAUUUAAUGAAGCGCUAGCGAGCUUGCUUAUAGGAUGCUUUCCUAUCAAAUCUGCWMACUGCUAAWAUAAAGUYUMCAAACCGAUAAAGYCUAUAAAUUUGUAAGAAACUUACAUAUUUUGKUURGUAAUGYYUUARACGCAUUUWAAAACACCGAUCWUUUGUCAWADGACUUCAAAGUGAUGUCAUCACUUGAAUUUUAAGAGUGAACUUAAAUUUUAAGGGUGAAAUUGUCAUCCUCCCAAAGUCUUCAAGCUGUUGAAGUUUUUUUGGAUGAGCUGGUGGAUAAGAUUAUGUCCGGUGAUCAAAUCUGGUUUGUUUAUCAGGGUGUUUGAAAAGGACAUUUAUCAUUUGCGAAGGGCAUUUGUAAAAGGGAAGAGCUUUACUGUUUGCAUUAGGCAAAUCCAAAGAAAAAGCAGGCAAAGGAAUCUCCGGACUGCAAAGUAAGGAAACAUGUUAAAUUUGAGAGUUUGGAAUGCGUUAUGCUAUUUUAGGGGCCGAGCUCAGGA